UGAGGUAUAUUGGUCAAUGGACGCAAGUCUGAACCAGCCAAGUAGCGUGCAGGAUGACGGCCCUAUGGGUUGUAAACUGCUUUUAUAUGGGGAUAAAGUGGGGAACGUGUUCCCUUUUGCAGGUACCAUAUGAAUAAGGACCGGCUAAUUCCGUGCCAGCAGCCGCGGUAAUACGGAAGGUUCGGGCGUUAUCCGGAUUUAUUGGGUUUAAAGGGAGCGUAGGCCGUUUGGUAAGCGUGUUGUGAAAUGUAGGAGCUCAACUUCUAGAUUGCAGCGCGAACUGUCAGACUUGAGUGCGCACAACGUAGGCGGAAUUCAUGGUGUGGCGGUGAAAUGCUUAGAUAUCAUGAAGAACUCCGAUUGCGAAGGCAGCUUACGGGAGCGCAACUGACGCUGAAGCUCGAAGGUGCGGGUAGCGAACAGG
rnacentral:rRNA from 1 species